rnacentral:lncRNA from 1 species
CUGAACAGUAACAUCAGUGAUACUGCUAACGUUGUUGACAGAACGGGAUUCCUCUUCAGUGAUAUUCAACACUGGCCAAAGUCUCUCUCUGGACGAUGCGCUCAAAUCACAUGUCACAAUAACACCGGCUGUGAAGUAACUCGACUUGGUCUUGCAAGGUGUGCUCCAGAGUUCCAAGGGUGUGGUCAUCCCCCGGAUGUGAGGGGCGCCAACACCACGUAUGACGGUCACUACCUGGGAGCGGUGGCGACCUACUCCUGUGACCCGGACUUCAGAACCUGCUACAACAAAGUCAUCAGCACCUGUCAGUCAUCUGGAGCGUGGGAGAGUUUAGCCGGUCUUUGUGGACAGUACAGGUGGCACGAUCCGAUUAAAGGCAAGUAUUCAUUUCCGUGUGGUCCUCCAAGCAAGUUCCGGCUGAUAAUCAAGGCGAAAGCAACAGCAGCUACAAG